rnacentral:piRNA from 1 species
AUCUCAGUGAUGCAGUCUGUGGUUCUGAGA